GAUCAAGAGACACAGCUACUUAUGGUUUUUACUUUUUGAAGGCUGUCAGUUUACCUGGACACGCUUACCCAAGGCUAUGUGGAUUCCCCAGCUGUUUAUUUGCUGGUACUCCAACAUACUCUAAAAAAAACAUGGACCAUCGGUCAUGGUUCCGUCCUUUUUGCAAAAUGUUGAUGAUUUGUUGUUAUGUAGCCCUAGCUAUGAGGCAAGCACUGUGGAUACUGUCAGCAACUGUAGGUCACAAGGUUGUUAAACACAAAAUGCAAUUGUGUAAAUCAAAGGUUGAAUACUUAGGUUUUGUUCUGGCUUUAGGCACCAGACAAUUGAGUCCAAAAUGUAUUGAGGUCAUUCAGAGGAUUCCUACACCCACUAUUCGGAAGGAGUUGCUCACCUUCCUCGGCAUGAUUAAUUACUGCCACCAUGGAUCCCUGAAUGCUCCCAUUAUGACUCAAUCC